rnacentral:rRNA from 1 species
UACGGGGGGGGGCAAGCGUUUGUUCGGAAUUACUGGGCGUAAAGGGCUCGUAGGUGGCCAACUAAGUCGGACGUGAAAUCCCCAGGCUCAACUUGGGAACUGCGUCCGAUACUGGAUGGCUUGAAUUCGGGAGAGGGAUGCAGAAUUCCAGGUGUAGCGGUGAAAUGCGUAGAUAUCUGGAGGAACACCGGUGGCGAAGGCGGCAUCCUGGACCGGCAUUGACGCUGAGGCGCGAAAGCCAGGGGAGCAAACGGGG